rnacentral:rRNA from 1 species
GUAGUACGAGUGAAAGCCCUUGAAAGAGGGUUAAACAGUACGUGAAAUUGUUGAAAGGGAAGCGCUUGUGACCAGACUUGGGCGCGGCGGAUCAUCCGGGGUUCUCUCCGGUGCACUUCGCCGCGUUCAGGCCAGCAUCAGUUCGGCGCGGGGGAAAAAGGCUUCGGGAACGUGGCUGCUCCGGCAGUGUUAUAGCCCGUUGCAUAAUACCCUGCGCUGGACUGAGGACCGCGCAUCUGCAAGGAUGCUGGCGUAAUGGUCACCAGCGACCCGUCUUGAAACACGGACCAAG